rnacentral:rRNA from 1 species
UACGAAGGGGGCUAGCGUUGCUCGGAAUCACUGGGCGUAAAGAGUGCGUAGGCGGGUCUUUAAGUCAGGGGUGAAAUCCUGGAGCUCAACUCCAGAACUGCCUUUGAUACUGAGGAUCUUGAGUUCGGGAGAGGUGAGUGGAACUGCGAGUGUAGAGGUGAAAUUCGUAGAUAUUCGCAAGAACACCAGUGGCGAAGGCGGCUCACUGGCCCGAGUACUGACGCUGAGGCACGAAAGCGUGGGGAGCAACAGG